AGUGUGAAGUGACGUAGGGAAGGCUUAGUUUUAGUCAACGUACAACUGAAUAAAAGGGCGGGUUACUGAACGCUUGUUAGCUUGUUCCCCCUGCAAUCCCCAUGGUGCACG